rnacentral:rRNA from 1 species
AAAUGAAUUGACGGGCACCCGCACAAGCGGUGGAGCAUGCUGUUUAAUUCGAAACUACGCGAAGAACCUUACCUAGAUUUGACAUCCCGGGCAGACGCUUAGAAAUAAGCGCGAGGUUAUCCCGGUGACAGAUGGUGCAUGGUUGUCGUCAGCUCGUGUCGUGAGAUGUUUGGUUAAGUCCAACAACGAGCGCAACCCCUAUUAUUAGUUGCUAACAUUUAGUUGAGAACUCUAAUAAUACUGCCGGUGUAAGCCGGAGGAAGGUGGGGAUGAGGUCAAAUCAUCAUGCCUCUUACAUCUAGGGCUACAGGCGUGCUACAAUGGCUGGUACAACGAGUCGCAACACGGCAACGUGAAGCUAAUCUCUUAAAGCCAGUCCCAGUUCGGAUUGGGGUCUGCAACUCGACCCCAUGAAGUUGGAAUCGCUAGUAAUCCCGAAUCAGAAUGUCGGGGUGAAUACGUUCUCGGGUGUUGCACACACCGCCCGU